GACGGCAGUUGUCAAAUGCGACGAAUGUUGCUGGUAUACGGUUCAUAAAUCGGCAUUUUCAACGUGAUAUUGCGGCUGCUGCCUGUAUACAAAUAUCGACGGCUGUUGUCAAACUGAAUCUCAAAAUGGCAACAUGCUAAACGCUAGGAAGACAGCUCCUCUAUAUUCCCCCUUGUGACAAAAGCCUGUUUUGGCCGAUUUCCAAUAAAAAAACGAAUGAAAAAAUUUUGACAGACAAAUUGGAAUGGUUUGUUUACAAUUGGACUGGUUUGUUUACAAUUCGACUGAUUGCAACUGGAUUGCAAUCGUGCAAUAGUACGAUGUUUUAGGUUGAAUUGUUCAAUUAUUGUAAAUCUAAUUUUAAGUAUGUACUUUCUGUUGGACUUGUGUAGAAAGUGGAGAAGGGAUUCCGCUAUGAAUAUUCGUGUGUUAUCGUAAUAAGACCCAACAUGUACGAGUUGAAAAAUCGUUACGUCGGAAAACGAUCUCAGGACAUUAACUUAAGUUUGCUGCAAAAUCAUAUGUGUAUAAGCAAUAAGGGAGAGCCGAUAAAGAAGCGGAUGAAGUAACCAGAUAGUGAGCAUAUGCUGGACGGAAAAUGUAUGCAGCGGCUGGUCAUAAAAAAAAUCAUAUCGAACGACACGUUUCUAACCAUAGAUUAACAUCAAACCAGUCUCUAACAGCACGUGAAUUUCAUCACACGAGAUUCUUUCCGUCCAAGAACAGUCCUGUGAUCUAGUGAUGGGCGUUUCGGAGCGUACCAACGGCUCCGGACUAACGGGUCCGGAGCCAGCUACACUCCGACGGCUCCGUAGCCGGCUCCGCUCCAAGGGCUCCGCAUCAAUGGCUCCGCAGCCGGUUCCGGACUAACAGCCCUGCACUCACGGCUCCAUUCCAAUAACUGCGGAGCCGGCUUCGAGUCCACUGUUCCAGAGCUGUCGAUGAAUCAACGGCUCCGAACUUACGGUUCAAUAGAGACAGCAUUGCAUGCUAGCCUAAUAAAAAAACAAAUAUAUUUUCUCGUGGAAGCUAACACACGAUGUGAUUGCAGUAUUGACAUGUAUGACGUUAUAAUAUUUUUCAUGAUUGAUAGAGGCAGA